rnacentral:rRNA from 1 species
UACGUAGGGGGCAAGCGUUGUCCGGAAUUAUUGGGCGUAAAGAGCGUGUAGGCGGUCCGGUAAGUCGGCUGUGAAAGUCCAGGGCUCAACCCUGGGAUGCCGGUCGAUACUGCCGGACUAGAGUUCGGAAGAGGCGAGUGGAAUUCCCGGUGUAGCGGUGAAAUGCGCAGAUAUCGGGAGGAACACCAGUGGCGAAGGCGGCUUCCUGGCCCUGUUCUUGACGCUGAGGCG